rnacentral:rRNA from 1 species
ACAUGCAAGUCGAGCGAACGGACGAGAAGCUUGCUUCUCUGAUGUUAGCGGCGGACGGGUGAGUAACACGUGGAUAACCUACCUAUAAGACUGGGAUAACUUCGGGAAACCGGAGCUAAUACCGGAUGAUAUUUUGAACCGCAUGGUUCAAAAGUGAAAGACGGUCUUGCUGUCACUUAUAGAUGGAUCCGCGCUGCAUUAGCUAGUUGGUAAGGUAACGGCUUACCAAGGCAACGAUGCAUAGCCGACCUGAGAGGGUGAUCGGCCACACUGGAACUGAGACACGGUCCAGACUCCUACGGGAGGCAGCAGUAGGGAAUCUUCCGCAAUGGGCGAAAGCCUGACGGAGCAACGCCGCGUGAGUGAUGAAGGUCUUCGGAUCGUAAAACUCUGUUAUUAGGGAAGAACAUAUGUGUAAGUAACUGUGCACAUCUUGACGGUACCUAAUCAGAAAGCCACGGCUAACUACGUGCCAGCAGCCGCGGUAAUACGUAGGUGGCAAGCGUUAUCCGGAAUUAUU